rnacentral:misc_RNA from 1 species
AAAUGCGAUAAGUAAUGUGAAUUGCAGAAUUCAGUGAAUCAUCGAAUCUUUGAACGCACCUUGCGCUCCUUGGUAUUCCUUGGAGCAUGCCUGUUUGAGUAUCAUGAAAUCUUCAAAGUAAAUCUUUUGUUAACUCAAUUGGUUUCUACUUUGGUAUUGGAGGUCUUUGCAGCUUCACACCUGCUCCUCUUUGUUCAUUAGCUGGAUCUCAGUGUUAUGCUUGGUUCCACUCGGCGUGAUAAGUUAUCUAUCGCUGAGGACACUGUAAAAGGUGGCCAAGGUAAAUGCAGAUGAACCGCUUCUAAUAGUCCAUUGACUUGGACAAUACUUUUAUGAUCUGAUCUCAAAUCAGGUAGGACUACCCGCUGAACUUUAGC